rnacentral:rRNA from 1 species
CGUGUAGGCGGGAAUUUAAGUCAGAUGUGAAAACCCCGGGCUUAACUUGGGGACUGCAUUUGAUACCGGAUUUCUUGAGGACAGGAGAGGAAAGCGGAAUUCCUAGUGUAGCGGUGAAAUGCGUAGAUAUUAGGAGGAACACCAGUGGCGAAGGCGGCUUUCUGGACUGUAACUGACGCUGAGGCGCGAAAGCGUGGGGAGCGAACG